GAUGAACGCUGGCGACGUGCCUAAUACAUGCAAGUCGAGCGAAUGGAUUAAGAGUUUGCUCUUAUGAAGUUAGCGGCGGACGGGUGAGUAACACGUGGGUAACCUGCCCAUAAGACUGGGAUAACUCCGGGAAACCGGGGCUAAUACCGGAUAACCUUUUGAACCGCAUGGUUCGAAACUGAAAGGCGGCUUUGGCUGUCACUUAUGGAUGGCCCCGCGUCGCCUUAGCUAGUUGGUGAGGUAACGGCUCACCAAGGCAACGAUGCGUAGCCAGCCUGGAAGGGUGAGCGGCCAGACUGGGACUGAGACACGGCCCAGACGCCUUCGGGAGGCAGCAGUAGGGAAUCUGCCGCAAUGGGCGAAAGUCUGACGGAGCAGCGCCGCGUGAGUGAGGAAGGCUUUCGGGUCGUAAAACUCUGUUGUUAGGGAAGAACAAGUGCUAGUUGAAUAAGCUGAAACCUUGACGGUACCUAACCAGAAAGCCACGGCUAACUACGUGCCAGCCGCCGCAGUAA
rnacentral:rRNA from 1 species